CCUACGGGGGGCUGCAGUGAGGAAUAUUGGUCAAUGGACGAGAGUCUGAACCAGCCAAGUAGCGUGAAGGAUGACUGUCCUAUGGGUUGUAAACUUCUUUUAUAAAGGAAUAAAACGAGGCACGUGUGCCUUUUUGCAUGUACUUUAUGAAUAAGGAUCGGCUAACUCCGUGCCAGCAGCCGCGGUAAUACGGAGGAUCCGAGCGUUAUCCGGAUUUAUUGGGUUUAAAGGGAGCGUAGAUGGGUUGUUAAGUCAGUUGUGAAAGUUUGCGGCUCAACCGUAAAAUUGCAAUUGAUACUGGCAGUCUUGAGUACAGUUGAGGUAGGCGGAAUUCGUGGUGUAGCGGUGAAAUGCUUAGAUAUCACGAAGAACCCCGAUUGCGAAGGCAGCUUACUAGACUGUGACUGACAUUGAUGCUCGAAAGUGUGGGUAUCGAACAGGAUUAGAUACCCGUGUAGUG
rnacentral:rRNA from 1 species